UACAGAGGAUGCAAGCGUUAUCCGGAAUGAUUGGGCGUAAAGCGUCCGCAGGUGGUUUUGUAAGUCUGCUGUUAAGGCGUUAGGCUCAACCUAAUAAGGGCAGUGGAAACUAUGAGACUAGAGUAUGUUAGGGGUAGAGGGAAUUCCCAGUGUAGCGGUGAAAUGCGUAGAGAUUGGGAAGAACACCGGUGGCGAAAGCGCUCUGCUAGGACAAUACUGACACUGAGGGACGAAAGCUAGGGGAGCGAAUGGG
rnacentral:rRNA from 1 species